AGAGUUUGAUCCUGGCUCAGGAUGAACGCUAGCGACAGGCCUAACACAUGCAAGUCGAGGGGCAACAUGGUAUCAGCUUGCUGAUACCGAUGGCGACCGGCGCACGGGUGAGUAACGCGUAUGUAAUCUACCUGUAACAGAGGGAUAACCCGGAGAAAUCCGGACUAAUACCUCAUAGCACAUAUUAUUCGCAUGAAUUUUAUGUUAAAGAGACUCGGUUACAGAUGAACAUGCGUUCCAUUAGCUGGUUGGCGGGGUCACGGCCCACCAAGGCAACGAUGGAUAGGGGUUCUGAGAGGAAGGUCCCCCACACUGGUACUGAGACACGGACCAGACUCCUACGGGAGGCAGCAGUGAGGAAUAUUGGUCAAUGGGCGGAAGCCUGAACCAGCCAAGUCGCGUGGAGGAAGACGGCCCUACGGGUUGUAAACUCCUUUUACCUGGGAAUAACGGGCGCUACGCGUAGCGCUGUGCAAGUACCGGGAGAAUAAGCAUCGGCUAAUUCCGUGCCAGCAGCCGCGGUAAUACGGAAGAUGCGAGCGUUAUCCGGAUUUAUUGGGUUUAAAGGGUGCGUAGGCGGAAGAAUAAGUCAGCGGUGAAAUGCUUCAGCUCAACUGGAGAAUUGCCGAUGAAACUGUUUUUCUAGAGUAUAAAAGAGGUAUGCGGAAUGCGUGGUGUAGCGGUGAAAUGCAUAGAUAUCACGCAGAACCCCGAUUGCGAAGGCAGCAUACUGGGCUAUAACUGACGCUGAAGCACGAAAGCGUGGGUAUCGAACAGGAUUAGAUACCCUGGUAGUCCACGCCGUAAACGAUGAAUACUAACUGUUUGCGAUAUAAUGUAAGCGGUACAGCGAAAGCGUUAAGUAUUCCACCUGGGGAGUACGCCGGCAACGGUGAAACUCAAAGGAAU
rnacentral:rRNA from 1 species